rnacentral:rRNA from 1 species
UACGUAGGGGGCAAGCGUUGUCCGGAUUUAUUGGGCGUAAAGAGCGUGUAGGCGGCCUUACAGGUCAGCUGUGAAAACUCGAGGCUCAACCUCGAGACGCCGAUGGAAACCAUCUAACUAGAGUCCGGAAGAGGAGAAUGGAAUUCCUGGUGUAGCGGUGAAAUGCGCAGAUAUCAGGAAGAACACCCGUGGCUAAGGCGGUUCUCUAGUACGGUACUGACGCUGAGACGCGAAAGCGUGGGGAGCGAACAGG